UGCGUAGGUGGUGGUUUAAGUCAGAUGUGAAAGCCCUGGGCUCAACCUGGGAACUGCAUUUGAUACUGGAUCACUAGAGUGCGGUAGAGGAUAGUGGAAUUCCCGGUGUAGCAGUGAAAUGCGUAGAGAUUUGGAGGAACACCAGUGGCGAAGGCGACUGUCUGGUCUGUAACUGACACUGAGGCGCGAAAGCGUGGGGAGCAAACA
rnacentral:rRNA from 1 species